rnacentral:rRNA from 1 species
UAUGUGAUCGUCUCUCGCAUAUCAAUAAGCGGAGGAAAAGAAACUAACAAGGAUUCCCUUAGUAACGGCGAGUGAAGCGGGAAGAGCUCAAAUUUGAAAUCUUCAAGGUUUUACCUUGACGAAUUGUAGUUUAAAGAAGUGUUUUCUGUUGAAGUUUUGGUAAAAGUUCUUUGGAAUAGGACAUCAUAGAGGGUGAGAAUCCCGUAUUUGACCAUUAUUUUCAGCUGUGUGAUACACUUUCAAAGAGUCGGAUUGUUUGGGAAUGCAGUCCAAAAUGGGUGGUAAAUUUCAUCUAAAGCUAAAUAUUGGCGAGAGACCGAUAGCGAACAAGUACCGUGAGGGAAAGAUGAAAAGAACUUUGAAAAGAGAGUUAAACAGUACGUGAAAUUGUCAAAAGGGAAGCGUUUGACACCAGUGUUGUUUUCUCGAAAAUCAAUUAAAAAGAGUUAGAUUUUGUUGUGUAUUGACCUUAACAGCUUGCAUUUCAAUUUUCUUGCUUUUUUUAAUGCACUUUUCGUUUAACAAGUCAACAUCAGUUUCUUUUGUUGUAAAAAGGUCAUUGGAAGGUGGCUUUCUUUUCGGAGAAAGUGUUUAUAGCCUUUGACUCCUGCAAUCGGAGAGACUGAGGUCUGCAGCGUAGAUCCUUCGGGGUUAGAUACAUUUGUGCUAAGUUAUAGCUUUUUAUAGACAACUUGUUGACUAUGAUUAGUCUUGUAGCUUACUCGCUUAUGCUAUUUUACCUACGCUUAGGAUGUUGAAGAUGUAGCACAUCAU